rnacentral:rRNA from 1 species
UACAGAGGGUGCGAGCGUUAAUCGGAAUUACUGGGCGUAAAGCGUGCGUAGACGGCUAUCUAAGGCGGGUGUGAAAGCCCCGGGCUCAACCUGGGAAUUGCAUUCGAGACUGAAUAGCUAGGGUGCGGUAGAGGGAAGCGGAAUUUCCGGUGUAGCGGUGAAAUGCGUAGAUAUCGGAAGGAACAUCAGUGGCGAAAGCGGCUUCCUGGACCAGCACCGACGUUCAGGCACGAAAGCGUGGGGAGCAAACAGG